AACGAACGCUGGCGGCAUGCCUAACACAUGCAAGUCGAACGAGAUCUUCGGAUCUAGUGGCGCACGGGUGAGUAACGCGUGGGAACCUACCAUUCUGUACGGAAUAACGUUUGGAAACGAACGCUAAUACCGUAUACGCCCUGUGGGGGAAAGGUCCGCCGCAGAAUGAGGGGCUCGCGUCCGAUUAGCUUGUUGGUGGGGUAACAGCCUACCAAGGCUACGAUCGGUAGCUGGUCUGAGAGGAUGAUCAGCCACACUGGGACUGAGACACGGCCCAGACUCCUACGGGAGGCAGCAGUGGGGAAUAUUGGACAAUGGGGGCAACCCUGAUCCAGCAAUGUCGCGUGUGUGAUGAAGGCCUUAGGGUUGUAAA
rnacentral:rRNA from 1 species